ACAAACUUGGUCAUUUAGAGGAAGUAAAAGUCGUAACAAGGUUUCCGCAUCAAGUCAUGCCGGCUGGAACACCCUUCCUUCCGCAGUGUACACUUAUCGAAGCCUUUGCAGCCACGCAAGUGGUAGGCCCAGACGACUGUAAACAAAAUUGGGACCGCAUGCAAGUCGCGCCCUUGGGGGGCGUUGGCGACACUUUUGAAUUGCGGGGAUACCCUAAAGCCAGUCGCACCAACCAACGCGGGAAACUGCGGAAGGAUCAUUACCGAGUGCGGGCCGUCGCGGCCCAACCUCCCACCCUUGUCUCUAUACACCUGUUGCUUUGGCGGGCCCACCGGGGUCACCUGGUCGCCGGGGGACGUCUGUCCUCGGGCCCGCGCCCGCCGACGCGCUCUGUGAACCCUGAUGAAGAUGGGCUGUCUGAGUACGAUGAAAAUUGUCAAAACUUUCAACAAUGGAUCUCUUGGUUCCGGCAUCGAUGAAGAACGCAGC
rnacentral:misc_RNA from 1 species